UACGUAUGGAGCAAGCGUUAUCCGGAUUUACUGGGUGUAAAGGGUGCGUAGGUGGCCAUGUAAGUCUGAUGUGAAAUACCGGGGCUUAACCCCGGAGCUGCAUUGGAAACUGGGUGGCUUGAGACCGGGAGGGGCAGGCGGAAUUCCUAGUGUAGCGGUGAAAUGCGUAGAUAUUAGGAAGAACACCGGUGGCGAAGGCGGCCUGCUGGACCGGGACUGACACUGAGGCACGAAAGCGUGGGGAG
rnacentral:rRNA from 1 species